AGUGAACGCUGGCGGUAGGCCUAACACAUGCAAGUCGAACGGCAGCACAGGAGAGCUUGCUCUCUGGGUGGCGAGUGGCGGACGGGUGAGGAAUGCAUCGGAAUCUACUCUGUCGUGGGGGAUAACGUAGGGAAACUUACGCUAAUACCGCAUACGACCUACGGGUGAAAGCAGGGGACCUUCGGGCCUUGCGCGAUUGAAUGAGCCGAUGUCGGAUUAGCUAGUUGGCGGGGUAAAGGCCCACCAAGGCGACGAUCCGUAGCUGGUCUGAGAGGGUGAUCGUACACACUGGAACUGAGACACGGUCCAGACUCCUACGGGAGACAGCAGUGGGGAAUAUUGGACAACGGGCGCAAGCCUGAUCCAUCCAUACCGCGUGGGUGAAGAAGGCCUUCGGGUUGUAAAGCCCUUUUGUUGGGAAAGAAAUCCAGCUGGCUAAUACCCGGUUGGGAUGACGGUACCCAAAGAAUAAGCACCGGCUAACUUCGUGCCAGCCGCCGCCGUAA
rnacentral:rRNA from 1 species